AAUCCGGGUUGCGGACAGUGUCUGGUGGGUAGUUUGACUGGGGCGGUCUCCUCCUAAAGAGUAACGGAGGAGCACGAAGGUUGGCUAAUCCUGGUCGGACAUCAGGAGGUUAGUGCAAUGGCAUAAGCCAGCUUGACUGCGAGCGUGACGGCGCGAGCAGGUGCGAAAGCAGGUCAUAGUGAUCCGGUGGUUCUGAAUGGAAGGGCCAUCGCUCAACGGAUAAAAGGUACUCCGGGGAUAACAGGCUGAUACCGCCCAAGAGUUCAUAUCGACGGCGGUGUUUGGCACCUCGAUGUCGGCUCAUCACAUCCUGGGGCUGAAGUAGGUCCCAAGGGUAUGGCUGUUCGCCAUUUAAAGUGGUACGCGAGCUGGGUUUAGAACGUCGUGAGACAGUUCGGUCCCUA
rnacentral:rRNA from 1 species